UGUAGGGGGAAAAAAAAGAAGGAAAUAAUUCGCAGCAUCUAACUUUAGGAUAUGAGAAAGUGUACUUAUGGUCUAGGAAUGUGGCAAGAAUUGGUUUUCUAUAGGGAUAAUGAGAAAACCUAAAAGAUCUGACAAUCAGCCUAAAUUCAAUUUGGGGCAACAGGAGAAAAAGUUUCUUCUUAUUAGGCCUCACCUUCUUCCCACCCAGGCCCUCUUAAAAGCUAAAUCAG
rnacentral:lncRNA from 1 species